UACACUCCUACGGGAGGCAGCAGUGGGGAAUUUUGGACAAUGGGCGAAAGCCUGAUCCAGCAAUGCCGCGUGAGUGAAGAAGGCCUUCGGGUUGUAAAGCUCUUUUGUCAGGGAAGAAACGGUGAAAGCUAAUAUCUUUUGCUAAUGACGGUACCUGAAGAAUAAGCACCGGCUAACUACGUGCCAGCAGCCGCGGUAAUACGUAGGGUGCAAGCGUUAAUCGGAAUUACUGGGCGUAAAGCGUGCGCAGGCGGUUUUGUAAGUCUGAUGUGAAAUCCCCGGGCUCAACCUGGGAAUUGCAUUGGAGACUGCAAGGCUAGAAUCUGGCAGAGGGGGGUAGAAUUCCACGUGUAGCAGUGAAAUGCGUAGAUAUGUGGAGGAACACCGAUGGCGAAGGCAGCCCCCUGGGUCAAGAUUGACGCUCAUGCACGAAAGCGUGGGGAGCAAACAGGAUUAGAUACCCGGGUAGUCCCAUGA
rnacentral:rRNA from 1 species